rnacentral:lncRNA from 1 species
GAUCUAGGGUUUCUAUUCAGGUAAUCAGAAUUAUAAUGAUAUAGAGGCUAAUUGUUGCUUGCAAGAUAUUAUAGAACUCAACUGGGAAUACAAAUCUAACAACUUCCGUUGUAUAGACAGUCUAAUAUCCAGAUCUUGGAUCUGAACUCUCGUUUAUUGAUCACAAGAAAGUGUCGAUCGAUUAUUCAAUAGGAAUAUCGAUCGAUACACCCUUCACAAUAUCGAUCGAUUAAUCUAUUGGAUCAUCGAUCGAUAUCGCUUCUAGGAAGCUUUACGAUCGGGUUGAAUAUGUGUUCACUAGGGUUCCUAAAUCAACUCCCGUAUGUUUCUAGCAAUCCUAGCUCAAUAGAAUUCAGUUCAGAGAAAAGACCAAGCUAUCGCUUGUGCCUAAUGAUUCUAAGAUCAGGGUUCUAGUUCAUGACUCUAGAACGCAAGCAGUAAGAACAAUCCUAUGAUGAAUAUCACAACUUAGCAGUUCUAUAUUUUGGGCUAAUCCUUCAUAACCUAUCUGAACCCUAAACCUAACAGGUGGAUCUAUUUAGACAUGAAGUUUGUCACAUAAAUCAUAGAUGAAUAGAUGAAAAGCAUAAAUAAUAUAAAACCAAAACAAAUGGAGUUCCAGGAGGACUCUGAUGGACUUCCUCCUUUCUCUCCU